rnacentral:lncRNA from 1 species
GAGUAAAUAUCACAUGCUAAAAUUAUUACGGGACUAUCCUAUUCAGUACCACAACCACGGUUAAUGAAAUAUGAUCAAGUAAAACACAACGUACAUGUAUUCGCCUCAAUACAAAAUGGAAAACCAUAUAAUAUAUUGUAGUUAUUAAUGGUCAUGAAGACCACUAGUGACACAAUAAAGUUGUAUAAAUUUAUGAUCGAUGUGGGUUGGAAAAUAUAGUGUUAUUAUGAAAAUAUAAAAUGUAUCUAAUAUCAUACAAGGAAGAUUUUAGCCAGACUGAUCUAUACUCCAUCUUUGAAAAAGUAACAAAUAUAGUAAGUGCAUUGUUAUAAACUGAACUUUUACUUUUUAGACUAACUUUAUGCAGCAAUGUGUUAGACUGUAUGCCUUCAUUUGAAUAAAAAUAUCAUAAAUUUCAAAUUUCAAAUAAAAUUGAAAGAAAACCCACAUCGACAGGAAAGAAAAGACAUUAAAGCUGCUUUAUUUUUCAAUUCAACAUUUUAGGUUUACUUUAUAAAGCUCGUUAUUCAUAUGCAUGACAAUUCGUAAGCAAUUUGGUAUAUGUAUAUCAAGUUAUACUAUUGCUGUCUUUGAUUGUGCAUUUCGUAUCUCGUCUCUCUUUCAGAUUGCAACCAAGACAAUUUUGAACGAAUAAAACUACACUGAUUGAUAAAUAAACAAACAUUGUUUAUUCUUUGGCAAUCAUUCCACAUCUUCUAUUUUAUAUUUAUGUUCUUUUCUUAGCUUAUUAUGAUCACUUGGGAACAGUUUGUGCACACAUAUACAAGUGUUUUUUUUUUAAUUUUUAGUAUCAUCAACAGUAUUUUCAAAUGACCAUACACUUAUGCAGACAUUUGUUGAAUUGUUACUUUGCUAUAAUUGACUUAUGAUUUUCAAGUAACAAAAUUGCAUGUUAGAAUGUGCUUAAAACAUCAAAAUUUAAUAGCAACAAGCUUAUCCCUAAAUGCGUAUUACGCAGAAGGGCAGGCUAGAUAAAUAUUUUCUGUUGGUGAUUGUCCUAAUUGUGUAUUAUAGCAUGUUUAAUUCAUAUUUACUUUAAUGUGUUUAUUUCUUAAGCUAGAUUAUCUACAGUAUCGAAAAACUAUAUAUUCAAUAUCAUAAACACUUCAAUAAAAUUCCAUGGUCAAUAAAUAAUGUAAAUAAACAUAUUUAGGCAUUGGUCAAUUAUGUACAUAGCAGUAAUGGUCAUUUUGUUUGUUUGUCCACUUACGUUAUCAUUAUCGUAAUGGUCAACACGUCAACUGACAUCUGACCACAACAUCAGACUUGAGUAUUGUUAUCAAACAAUCCUUGACAUUUCAUAACAGUCCUCUUGUACUUUCUAUGUGGUUAAUGUUAUAGCCAUCUUUGUGGUCAAUUUGAUGGCCCUAAUGAUUGCAUGAAAAUGUGUCGAUAUUUCCGAAUUACUACAUCAGUUAAAAUAAUCUUUGUUUCUUAAUAGUCAAAACAAUUUUUUUUUUAGGAAAACUUAUACAGCUAUAUAACCGUAAAGCUGUAGAGAAUACCAUGUACUGGUCCGAAGAAAAACUACUCGAACAACAGAGGGAUUCCGACUGCUGUUAUUUGGAAUUUUCUUCAAAACUAUAUGUAUUGAUCAAUUUCAUUCAGAAGUGGAUUUAGUGGGGAAAGGGCCCGGUCUCCUUAUGGGGCUUCAUAUACGAUAAAUGCUUAAACUUUUAACACGUAUCACUCCAAACGUUGGCUUGAAAGCUGCCACCCCUUUAUAAAACAGGAUUCACACCUUUAAUGGAUAGGAACAGAUGGGCCAACAAACUACAACUUUCGAACACGUUUUAUUUUUUUUCUAUUUUGUAAUUUUGUAGUCAAUUUAGAUUUCAUAAUUUCAUUUUAGAAAAGGCAUAAAAGAGCCAUCACAAGUGAAACAUAGAGACAUCGGCAUGGUAAAAUUUGUUCAUAACUAAUCCAAUAAAACUCUGCAGAUUUCGGGUUUAAGCUAUGUAUGUGUCUAUUAGAAAGUAUGAAUGUAUGCUUCCUAUGUCAAAUUAAGGAAUUGUAUAUUCUUUCCUUAAUUAAAUACUAGAACAGAAAUAAUCUCUGGGAAUGUUUCGUUCUUGCCUUAUUCCUGAUUCCGAUCAUGUCACUUAGUGCUUAUCUAUUGAUGUAUAUUUUUUAAAUUGAAGUAUUUUGUAAUCACAUUAUAGUAUUCUUCAAUAUAAAUAUUUCCUGUUUGUUAAAUUCACAUUAACGAUAAACGGAACCAAAAACUUUCUCCUAUGAACGUCAAUAAAUACUAAAUAAAUAUACAAGGUUCACAGAGUAAAACAUAGUUACCAACAAUUAAUAAACGCACACCUUUGAGCUAAUUGGUACAGCAUUUAUGUCUCAUAUCAAAGGUUAGUUUGUCAGUACAAUGCAUACAAUGUAUGGAAAACAAAUAUAGCAUUUACAACUUUUUUGUGGACUUUAUUAAUUCACACACGCAUACAUAUUUUAAUAUGUUCCGAUAUCACGACCAUUGUCUCAAAUAAACACGAAAGCGCACUACAACGGAUGUGAUAACGAAUUUACAGUCUAUUUUAGCCAUUUAGAUGGUUUCGGAGAAACAUGUGUAAAUGAGGAGUGGAUAAGUUAUUUAAUCGGAAUUCUACUAAAAAUAUGGAAUUUGAAUCAGGAUGCAAUUUAACUAUUUAUUCUUAUGAAGCGCC